GUGAAAUGCAGUCGGCCCUCUAUAUGUGCAGGUUCUGUAUCCAUGGAUAUGGAGGACCAAGUAAGGGAUCUGAGCAUCCUCUGAUUUUGGUAUCUGCUGGGGGAUGGAUACCAGAUCGCUGGAACCAAUCUCCUGAGGAUACUGAGGGGUGACUGUAUCGGGCAGCUUUUAAAAUUUGAGACUGUUGUCUUGAUCCUGAUCCUGCCCCUCAGCUGAAUUACUUGACUCUUGAAUCCUCCUCCUUCCUCUCAGUUGCCAUUCAUCGCUCCUCCUGCUUGUCACUGCCUGUGGGUAGGGUGUCAUCAGGUAGAGGAAGCUCACUGUCUGCUGAGCAGGAUACAAUGUUAGAGGAACAUCCUUGACUUUCCCGUUGGCCUUCUCUGGAUGCAUUUCCCGUGAUAACAUAUUAUAAGUGGUGUUUCGAUACUGCAAUGAUAUUCUUGUCAAGUUUUUCAGGCUGAACUCAGCAUCUGAUGACCAUUUAUAACUUUUGAUCGGGGAAAUAUGUUCUAGAGGCCAAGAAAGUGUGUCUUUCCAUGUUGUUUAAUUGGGGCCCUGCCUGGGUUUCACUGAGCUGUAAUUCAGUGAUGUCUUCAGGAGAUGACUCAGGUUUGGGAAGACUUUUUGCUUUUUCUGGAAUGUUAGCUCUCAUUACGUUGUUGCUUGUCCAUUUUCUCUAGCUGUCUCCCACUCCAUUUCUAAUUUGACAACCUUUGUCGUUAGUGAUCUGGGAAAGAUAUAGGACCUGAUUUGUUAGAAUUGUUUGUCAGUUCAGUGAAUAGUCAACACUGAAUAAAAGAUUUCUAAGGUGUUUCUGGUGAGUGAAAAGGCAUGUGUUAGUCCAAAAGUUUUGCCUUUACUUUUUUGUUUUCUUGGAGGCUUUGAAAACAGUCCUUGAUUCUGGACUUUAUUAUGGCUCUUGGCAUUGACAAACAGAAUGCCAGGUAAAUGGUGCAUUAGCAUAUUAAUGUUAAAAUGCCUGCCAUUUCCAUUAUUAAAGUGAAGUAGAUUGGUGUGCAUUUAGUAGAACAUAACUAGAGCUUUUGUUCCAAAAUAAGAUAUUUACUUUAAUUCUCUUUAUUAGAGAUGGUUUAUGAAAUAUCACCAAUUAAAUAGGAAAAUCUUUCUAUUGAUUAUAAUUCUAUGAAUUUAUUUUGCUGAACUACAACAUUAUUAUAAUACAAUUGGAUUACAGUUUUGACUGUAUGGUCAGGAACUGUAGGUUUGUUUUAAAAAUGACAUGUUUUUUACAUCAAUUUUGCUUCUCCUUCUUCUAG
rnacentral:lncRNA from 1 species